UACAGAGGGAUGCUACCGGGCGACCGGAUGCGGAUCUCGAAAGCCUGUCCCAGUUCGGACUGGAGUCUGCAACCCGACUCCACGAAGUUGGAUUCGCUAGUAAUCGCGCAUCAGCCAUGGCGCGGUGAAUACGUUCCCGGGCCUUGUACACACCGCCCGUCAAGCCAUGGGAGCCGGGGGCGCCUGAAGUCCGGGACCGCGAGGACCGGCCUAGGGCGAAACUGGUAACUGGGGCUAAGUCGUAACAAGGUAUC
rnacentral:rRNA from 1 species